CGCGGUAAAAGCGCGCGCAGGUGGUUCCUUAAGUCUGAUGUGAAAGCCCACGGCUCAAUCCGUGGAGGGUCAUUGGAAACUGGGGAACUUGAGUGCAGAAGAGGAAAGUGGAAUUCCAAGUGUAGCGGUGAAAUGCGUAGAUAUUUGGAGGAACACCAGUGGCGAAGGCGACUUUCUGGUCUGUAACUGACACUGAGGCGCGAAAGCGUGGGGAGCAAACAGGAUUAGAUACCCUGGUAGUCCACGCCGUAAACGAUGAGUGCUAAGUGUUAGGGG
rnacentral:rRNA from 1 species